AAGUCGUAACAAGGUUUCCGUAGGUGAACCUGCGGAAGGAUCAUUAACACGUUAUCCACGUAUCAACCAACGAGAAUUGUUUUCACCUCUCCCCUCCCUGGAAUGGAUUGCGGGCUUGUUUAGAGUUGUUGAAUGGGAUGCUUGCGUCAAACUCUACUCGCCUCCGACUUGAUGUAGAAAUAUGUUGGGUUGGCAAUUGUAUCUAGUAAGAGGGCUAUCGCUCACUGAUCAGUCUCCAUUCAUUGACUCUUUCAGUGGGUACCUAUUUUACCAAUUUCACCCCUUUUUUGCUAGUUGACUUUUAUAUGUUGUAUCUUAUGCUCCGGCGUUUGGUGCACACGUUUAAUUAUUUGAACGUUAAAUUUACAACUCUUAGCAAUGGAUAUCUAGGUUCUC
rnacentral:misc_RNA from 1 species